rnacentral:rRNA from 1 species
CUACGUGUAGAGGGCUGAAUGUACUAAACGAAUAAGCACCGGCUAACUCCGUGCCAGCAGCCGCGGUAAUACGGAGGGUGCAAGCGUUAUCCGGAAUCAUUGGGUUUAAAGGGUCCGCAGGCGGAUGUAUAAGUCAGUGGUGAAAUCCUGCAGCUUAACUGCAGAACUGCCAUUGAUACUGUACAUCUUGAAUUCGGUCGAAGUGGGCGGAAUGUGUAGUGUAGCGGUGAAAUGCAUAGAUAUUACACAGAACACCGAUAGCGAAGGCAGCUCACUAGGCCUGGAUUGACGCUCAGGGACGAAAGCGUGGGGAUCAAACAGGAUUAGAUACCCUGGUAGUCCACGCUGUAAACGAUGAUUACUCGUUUUCGGCGAUAUACAGUCGGAGACUAAGCGAAAGUGAUAAGUAAUCCACCUGGGGAGUACGAUCGCAAGGUUGAAACUCAAA